rnacentral:sRNA from 1 species
UUUUAACCAACAAAAGAUUGCUUAGAAGCAGUAAAUAGCAUUGUUAGUGUUUCUAUGGUCAAAAUGUAUCACAAUCCAAUGCAUUUGACUAAUUAUAAGUGUUAAAGAUAGAUUAGGAGUGUUUAAACAACACUUAUACCCAUUUUCUCCCAAAAGAGGCUAAAACCAACAAAAAAUUGCUUAGAAGCAGUAAAUAGCUUUGUUAGUGUUUCUAUGGUCAAAAUGUGUCACAAUCCAAAGCCUUUGACUAAUUAUAAGAGUUAGAGAUGGAUUAGGAGUGUUUAGACAACACUUAUACCCAUUUUCUCCCAAAAGAGGCUAAAACCAACAAAAAAUUGCUUAGAAGCAGUAAACAGUUUUGUUAGUGUUUUUAUGGUCAAAAUGUGUCACAAUCCAAUGCAUUUGACUAAUUAUAAGAGUUAGAGAUGGAUUAGGAGUAUUUAGAAAACACUUAUACCCAUUUUCUCCCAAAAGAGGCUGAAACUAACAAAAAUUUGCUUAGUAGCAGUAAUUAGGUUUGUUAGUGUUUCUAUUGUAAAAAUUUGUCACAAUCUAAUGCAUUUGACUAAUUAUAAGAGUUAGAGAUAGAUUAAGAGUGUUUAGACAAUACUUAUACCCAUUUUCUCUCAAAAGUGGCUAAAACUAACAAACAAUUUCUUAGAAACAGUAAACAGUUUUGUUAGUGUGUUUGUGGUCAAAAUGUGACACAAUCCAAUGCAUUUUGACUAGUUAUAAGAGUUAGAGAUAGAUUAGGAGUGGUUAGAGAACACUUACAUCAAAUUUCUCUUAAAAGAGGCUAAAACCAAUAAAGAAAUUGUUUAGAAGCAGUAAAUAGCUUUAUUAGGGUUUUUAUGGUAAAAAUUGCACAUUCAAUGCAUUUG